AGGGGAAUUUCAGACAGAUGUUCAAUGGAGAAGCCUGCUCCGUCAAGUACAGUGCAGCCGUUGAAUUCAGCGCCGGUGCCAGGGAUUACUCUCUGCAGGCGUCCAAUGGUGCUAUAGAAUAAAAUACGGAGGACUUGUUGUCAAUUCUUCUAUCCUUUCAUCAUUCUACUUGAGGGUGAAGGAGUAGAAGGAUUCUUCUGACUGGAGAUUUCCCUUAAUGGCUGGAUUCUAUUGGGCCAUUCGAACUAUCAGCAAAUAACAUUAUCAGUUGAAAUACAUGUAUUAAAAUAUAGCAUACUAACUGGAUAUGACAGCUUUUCAAGGA
rnacentral:sRNA from 1 species